rnacentral:rRNA from 1 species
GAUGAACGCUAGCUACAGGCUUAACACAUGCAAGUCGAGGGGAAACGAUAGGGAAAGCUUGCUUUUUCUAGGCGUCGACCGGCGCACGGGUGAGUAACGCGUAUCCAACCUGACCAUCACUUGGGGAUAACCUUGCGAAAGUAAGACUAAUACCCAAUGACGUCUCUAGAAGACAUCUGAAGGAGAUUAAAGAUUUAUCGGUGAUGGAUGGGGAUGCGUCUGAUUAGCUUGUUGGAAGGGUAACGGCCAACCAGGGCAACGAGCAGGAGGAGGUCUGAGAGGAAGGUCCCCCACAUGGGAACUGAGACCCGGUACAAACUCCUACGGGAGGCAGCAGUGAGGAAGAUUGGUCAAUGGACGAGAGUCUGAACCAGCCAAGUAGCGUGCAGGAAGACGGCCCUAUGGGUUGUAAACUGCUUUUAUAAGGGAAUAAAGUGAGUCUCGUGAGACUUUUUGCAUGUACCUUAUGAAUAAGGACCGGCUAAUUCCGUGCCAGCCGCCGCCGUAA